rnacentral:rRNA from 1 species
UACGUAGGGUGCAAGCGUUGUCCGGAAUUAUUGGGCGUAAAGAGCUCGUAGGCGGUUUGUCGCGUCUGCUGUGAAAACUGGAGGCUCAACCUCCAGCCUGCAGUGGGUACGGGCAAACUAGAGUGCGGUAGGGGAGAUUGGAAUUCCUGGUGUAGCGGUGGAAUGCGCAGAUAUCAGGAGGAACACCGAUGGCGAAGGCGGGUCUCUGGGCCGAUACUGACGCUGAGGAGCGAAAGCAUGGGGAGCGAACAGG